rnacentral:lncRNA from 1 species
UUUUUUUUUUAAAGAUUUUAUUCAUCUAUUUAUGAGAGACAGAGACAGAGAAAGAGAGAGGCAGAGACACAGGCAGAGAGAGAAACAGGCUCCAUGCAGGAAGCCCAGCGUGGGACUCGAUCCUGGGACUCCAGGAUCACGCUCUGAGCCAAAGGCAGGCACUAAACCGCUGAGCCACCCAGGGAUCCCCCUGCUAUUCAUUCUGUAAAUGAUUUGAUAAUAUCUGCUCUAUGCUCCAAAAUAUAUAGACCUCCAAAUAGUUGUUAAUAUAUACCCAUGUAUUUAAUUAUUGUGCUUUUACUUUUUUAUUCUUUGUUGGGAAGUAACUGACAGCCACUCCGUUGCUGAGAGUUAUUUUUAAAGCUAAGAUGCUGAUAUAUUUAUCUGAAAGUAUGUUCUAGAAGGCAACUCAUAUAACCUGAUGGAAUCUCUUUCUGUAUGAUACAAAUAUGCAAUUGCUGGAAUAAGAGGAACACAGCAAUACCACGUGCUUGAAAAUCUACAAAAUGGCUUAAAAUAUAUUUUUUACAUUAUUAUAAUGUUUUAAUUGUGGAUUUUGAUUGCAUAAAUGAAAACCAGUCAGUAGCUUUAACCUGUAAAACAUUCUUUUCUAAUCAUUCCAACCAAACAUUCAUUGAACUAACAUGUUUUUUACUGUUCUCCAUUUAUUACAAGUACACACGUAACAGUAAAAUCAUAGUAUAGGUAUAUAUUUGAUGCUUCCUUAUUUUUGUUCUAAUGUAAUCCUGAAUUAUGAAAGAAGAAUUUAAAGAAAUACAAAUAAAAGAAUGUCCAGAUAUUAAUAUGAAACAUGGAUGUUUAUCACAGCUUUAAUAGAAACCAAUUAUCUGAAAAAUUGUUUUCUAAAAUAUUUUAAUUCACUAUUUGUUACCUCUAGAAUAUUAUCAGAUUAGUUUAAAUAAUGAUGUUUAUCCCUUAAUUUAAGAUUUUAAGAAAAUCAGUUUGUCUCCCAUAGUGAAUGAAAUCACAGCUACUAUGAUGAAGGAUGAUUUAUUGUAGUUAUGAUUAAAUUCACAAUCCCAUAGUCAAACAACACUAAAAGUUCAAAUAUUUUAUAUUAUCAGGAAAACUGUCCCCAAAAUGCUUCACAUAUAAUAAUUAUACUCCCAAAGUUAGUCUUUUAAUUUUUGACAAUUUAUUCGUGUGAAGACAUUGGUUAAUAGUUGGCACUCAAAUCUAGGUUUGCUAGGAAAAAGAAAAUAUGGCUCAAAUAUACCUUCAAAAGUCAAUGACUUACUGCCUUUUUUUUUUUUUUUUCAUUUUUCCUGUGAAUGUCUUUUUUUAGAGAAUCAGGACAAUUUUCUUCUGGCUUUCUAGCUAUGAUUUCAAACUCAAGUAAUUAUGUUGUGUUUUCCAUGAUUCCUUCUGGCUUUCUAGCUAUGAUUUCAAACUCAAGUAAUUAUGUUGUGUUUUCCAUGAUUCCAAGUAUAAUUUUAGUUGUAAAAUGUCUCCUUAUUAAAUAUUUUUGUAGCAAAAUAACUACAUAGUAAAGGAAAGCAACUCAAACACCAAAAAAGAAACGAUGAAUUAUUGCUUCCAACAACCAAGUAGUACUGAUAUAUAUCAUAGUGUACAUUUUUUUGAGAAUGGAAUUGCUAUAAAAGUGGGAUUUGCAUUUUUGUUAGCCUAUAUGAUGUGUCUGAGAAUGUCUGUGACCAUGGACAUAGACAUAUUUUUACUUAUAGAUGUGGGUUAGCAAUAAAAACUUUAAACGCUUGGUUUGCAGAUGUAGAAAGAGGAAAUGCCAAGAGAUCUUUUCUCCAAGGAAGUCUAAAAAUAACAAAGAGUUUUUUAAAAUAGGAUCCUAAGUGACAAAUGGAAUGGCUAUAUUUAAAAUGUCAUUCUCAUAGUAUCUUGCUCAUUUAUUCAUUAAAUUAUAAAAGCUUGUUUCAGUAAGGAAAACACUGGUGAAUGAAAGUGACAUAAAGUCACUAUAUGUGUUACUACCUUUUGGCUGUGAUUUUGCUGACCCUUCUUACACAUUUUUCUACUUUGACACUCUUCAUUUCUUUGCUUUCUUUUCCUUUUAUGUUUUUGCAUUAUUAGUAGGCAAUAUGAAGACUAUGAGUCCCAGAUAUGAAUAAGGUCUCAGUGGCUUGUAUUUAUGUCUCAUUGUGACACAAGAAACUUUCUGUGCUCUCUCUGCUUUUUAUUCCGUUAAUAUUGCUGUGAUAAUGUGUGGGUAUAAUCAGGCAUCUCAAUUUAAGUCUACACUCUACAUGUAGCCAUCCACUAGGAAAGGAUAAUGAGGUUUAUUUGCAGUGAAUCAAUGAAUGAGAGUCUUUUUAAAAAAGAUUUUAUUUAUUUAUUUAUUUAUUUAUUUAUUUAUUUAUUUAUUUAUUUAUAAGAGACACGGAGAGAGAGGCAGAGACACAGACAGAGGGAGACCCAGGCUCCCUGUAGGGAACCUGUUGUGGGACUGGAUCCCGGGACCCCAGGAUCAUGAACUGAGCCAGAAGCAGAUGCUCAGCCACUGAGUCACCCAGGUGCCCCCAGAGUCUUAAGAAUCGAUAAGGUGUCUAGAGUUUUAUCACAGGUCAUCUUUGAUGGGAAGUGGUUGAGAAGUGAAGGGGAAUCAGUGUUCCACUGACGGUGUAAAGAAAAUGCCUGAUUCCAGACUUGAGUAUAUAUAAGGUAACUGAAUCAUUAGUCUAAUCAUUUUAAGUUAGUGCGAUGUGAGCAAUCCCAAUACACUGUAUCUGAGACAGCAUGUUGAAUGGCAUAAGCAUGUCACAGGUCAAUUUUAGUUCAUGUUCAUUCAAGCAGAACAUUAUUUUUCUGGAACCCUUCACUGUUGAAACAAUGCUUAUGUGUUCAGAAGCAGACUUAGUGAAAAAGUCCAUGUUAGAUAGCAUGUUGGCAUAACUGUUGGAGCAAUCUUCUUAUUUAAAAAAGAAAACUAAAAAAAAAAAAAAAAAGAAAAAAAGAAA